rnacentral:misc_RNA from 1 species
GAAAUGCGAUAAGUAAUGUGAAUUGCAGAAUUCCGUGAAUCAUUAAAUCUUUGAACGCACAUUGCGGUUUUUGGUAUUCCGAAGACCAUAUCUGUUUGAGAAUCAGUUUAAUUUAAUCAAAAAUUUUUAUUUUUAUUUCACGAUUUAAAUAAAUCUUUUUGGACUUUGGGUUUUAAUUGACUUCUUUUUGAUGUCGAUAUUCCUUUUAAUUCAUUUGUUGCUUUCUGUAUAAUUUGAAAGCUGGAAGGCAUGACCAAAGGACCUUAGGGUUCUAAAAUCAGUGCUGAAAAUAGUAUCAAAUUUACAACUUUUUAUGGAAGUAACGUUAAAAAAUAAAACACGAAAAGAAAGAAAUUUCUUUUUAAGACUUGAUCUCAAAUCAGAUAAGACUACCCGCUGA